UACAGAGGUCUCGAGCGUUAGGCGGAAUCACUGGGCUUAAAGCGUGUGUAGGCGGCAUGGUAAGUACAUUGUGAAAUCCCACGGCUCAACCGUGGAACUGCUUGGUAUACUGCUUUUCUUGAGCCACUUAGGGGCAACCGGAACAAACGGUGGAGCGGUGAAAUGCGUAGAUAUCGUUUGGAACGCCAAUGGUGAAAACAGGUUGCUGGGAGUGUGCUGACGCUGAGACACGAAAGCCAGGGGAGCAAACGGG
rnacentral:rRNA from 1 species